rnacentral:rRNA from 1 species
AGGACGAACGCCGGCGGCGUGCUUAACACAUGCAAGUCGAGCGGUAAGCCCCUUCGGGGGUACACGAGCGGCGAACGGGUGAGUAACACGUGAGUAAUCUGCCCUUCACUUCGGGAUAACCGCCGGAAACGGCGGCUAAUACCGGAUACGACCAGCCUUCGCAUGAGGUGCUGGUGGAAAGUCUUGUCGGUGAAGGAUGUGCUCGCGGCCUAUCAGCUUGUUGGUGGGGUAAUGGCCUACCAAGGCUUCGACGGGUAGCCGGCCUGAGAGGGUGACCGGCCACACUGGGACUGAGACACGGCCCAGACUCCUACGGGAGGCAGCAGUGGGGAAUAUUGGACAAUGGGCGAAAGCCUGAUCCAGCAACGCCGCGUGAGGGAUGGACGGCCGUUCGGGUUACGUAACCUCUUUCAGUUACCGGACGAAGCGCGUCCUAGGAGUGGUGACGGUAGGUACAGAAGGAAGGACCGGACCAACUACGUCGCCGAGACGACGCCCGACGGUAA